rnacentral:lncRNA from 1 species
CAUUGGAGAGGUUCCCGACCUUCUCUGGACAGUCUCCUGAAUGACCAGCAAAGCCAAAACCUCAGGAAAGUGUAAGAUCUGGAGCUUGUUAACUGGAAAGCAGUCAUGUCAUGUCUCUUCUCUCAAGUGGAGGGUGAAGAGAAGUAAGUGAGCAAGAAACCCUGUGUGCACAGAAGAUUCGAGCCAAAUGGCCAACACUCACCUUCAUGGAACCUGAUGGUGGUGAGUUCUCCGCACUCAACUGAUUCUGGGGACACC